rnacentral:lncRNA from 1 species
ACAAAUUGUGAUGUUGUUUCUUGUUAACUGAUGCACUUGAACUUGAGCCUUCGUAGUAUGCUUUAGCGAUGUUUUUUAUUAAAUUUCCACGCCACUUUGUUCUUUUUCUCAAACAUCUUGCUCCAUUUCAAGUCUUUCUACUUAUCUUUGUCUUUGAAUGCCUGUUUUUCAAGGUAUCAUGGAUGUAGAAACCAAGAAUCAAGCUUCCCCUAGAUAUGGAUUUAAUUCCUUACCUCAAGAAAUUGUUAUUGACAUAGCUUCCAGACUUCCCAUAACAUCUUUAGUCC